rnacentral:rRNA from 1 species
CUUGCUCUGUGGGAUCAGUGGCGAACGGGUGAGUAACACGUGAGCAACCUGCCCCUGACUCUGGGAUAAGCGCUGGAAACGGCGUCUAAUACUGGAUAUGUGACGUGACCGCAUGGUCUGCGUCUGGAAAGAAUUUCGGUUGGGGAUGGGCUCGCGGCCUAUCAGCUUGUUGGUGAGGUAAUGGCUCACCAAGGCGUCGACGGGUAGCCGGCCUGAGAGGGUGACCGGCCACACUGGGACUGAGACACGGCCCAGACUCCUACGGGAGGCAGCAGUGGGGAAUAUUGCACAAUGGGCGCAAGCCUGAUGCAGCAACGCCGCGUGAGGGACGACGGCCUUCGGGUUGUAAACCUCUUUUAGCAGGGAAGAAGCGAAAGUGACGGUACCUGCAGAAAAAGCGCCGGCUAACUACGUGCCAGCAGCCGCGGUAAUACGUAGGGCGCAAGCGUUAUCCGGAAUUAUUGGGCGUAAAGAGCUCGUAGGCGGUUUGUCGCGUCUGCUGUGAAAUCCGGAGGCUCAACCUCCGGCC